GCAAGAUGUAAACUGCUGUUUGGGCUUUUAGAUACAGUAAUUCUAUUUUAAUUAGCAUUGUAAAAGUUGUUGAUUGUUAAAACCCACUUGUUUUGUUCUAUUGAAUAUGAAUAGCCACUCACUUGUGAGGACUAUGUCAAUUUAACAAUUAUCACCUCAACUCUCUGAUUAGCACAAAUAAUUGGGUUAGAUACUGUACCUGCCUGACCUAUGUACCUUUGUGAUCACCUGUUCAUUAAAACCAAUCAUGAACAGAGUCAUUGCACAUGGAAAGUGCCCAGAGGUAUCGAACUGCCACCGGAGAAAAAGGCAGCCAGAAAUGCCACACUGUUACAUGCCCCGUACUUAUACAGCAUCCACUUACUCACACCACACAGUCCCUCC
rnacentral:lncRNA from 1 species